CUCCAAACACCAUAACCACUGCAGUGUGCUGUGAUGGUUUUGGUACCUGGGUGCCCUGAUGUCCUCCAUAUGCUAACAGUUUGACAACUUACCAUCUGGGAUCAGCUGCAUGCCAGUCACCUCCCCCAUUACAGCAAGAAGCUCAAUGCUUUCAGUUAGCCAUAGCGGUGCAAGGCUGAGAUCGAUCAUGUGAUCAGCAAAUGAGCUGGGCAUGUACAGCCAGGUUUAGCUCAUUAGAGCUAACAGAAGCGGGAGUGUCCAGCUGUCAAUGGAGAAAGAGACUGGCCCCUGGAAGACCCAAAGGAAAU